GCCGUGAUGAUCUAGUGGUUAUGAUUCUACGUUGUGGCCGUAGCUACCCCGGUUCGAAUCCGGGUCACGGCA